CCUACGGUGUGCAGCAGUGGGGAAUAUUGCACAAUGGGGGGAACCCUGAUGCAGCGACGCCGCGUGAGUGAAGAAGUAUUUCGGUAUGUAAAGCUCUAUCAGCAGGGAAGAAAAUGACGGUACCUGACUAAGAAGCCCCGGCUAACUACGUGCCAGCAGCCGCGGUAAUACGUAGGGGGCAAGCGUUAUCCGGAUUUACUGGGUGUAAAGGGAGCGUAGACGGUUAUGCAAGUCUGAAGUGAAAGCCCAAGGCUCAACCAUGGGACUGCUUUGGAAACUGUAAAACUGGAGUGCAGGAGAGGUAAGCGGAAUUCCUAGUGUAGCGGUGAAAUGCGUAAAUAUAUGUAAGAACACCAGUGGCGAAGGCGGCUUGCUGGGUCGAUACUGACAUUGAGGCACGAAAGCGUGGGGAGCAAACAGGAUUAGAUACCCUGGUAGUC
rnacentral:rRNA from 1 species